CUACAGCUGGUUGACUGAGUUUCCUUUGGGCUCCUGGCACCAGAAAGAAUUGCUCACUGGAAGGAUCAUAGGUGGCACUCAUGUCUCACUGCCCCACUCAGGGAGAUGGGGCCCCAUGGUUGUGCUUUAAGGAUGCUGUGGACUCCCUACAAUGUCAGCAACUGCUGUGUGCACCUGUAGCUCUCCAUUUCUCUCGAGAGAAGUCCUGUAGUUCUUCGCAAAUCCUUUUCAAAGGGGACUCGUGAUUCCAGAAGCAUCGAAGCCUUGAGGCUUGCCUGGAGAUUUUAGGUCUGGUGGCUGCAGAUGCAUAUGAGAUGUGGACUGCAAGAUAUUUCUCUACUGUUCAAAUCACGUGUUGGAGGCGACUCCCUAAAGUCAUAGGAUCUCAAAAUUGAAA
rnacentral:lncRNA from 1 species